GUUUCGGCCGCCGGGGGAGUGGCGCACGGGUGAGUAGCGCGUGGGAACCUGCCCUGUUGUGGGGGAUAACCGAGGGAAACUUCGGCUAAUACCGCAUGCGCCCGGGCAACCGGGGAAAGAUUUAUCGCAGCAGGAGGGGCCCGCGUCGGAUUAGGUAGUUGGUGGGGUAACGGCCUACCAAGCCGGUGAUCCGUAGCUGGUCUGAGAGGAUGAUCAGCCACACUGGGACUGAGACACGGCCCAGACUCCUACGGGAGGCAGCAGUGGGGAAUAUUGGACAAUGGGCGCAAGCCUGAUCCAGCAAUGCCGCGUGAGUGAUGAAGGCCUUCGGG
rnacentral:rRNA from 1 species